AACGAACGCUGGCGGCAUGCCUAACACAUGCAAGUCGAACGAGACCUUCGGGUCUAGUGGCGCACGGGUGCGUAACGCGUGGGAACCUGCCCUUAGGUUCGGAAUCACUCCCCGAAAGGGGUGCUAAUACCGGUUAAUGUCUUCGGACCAAAGAUUUCUCGCCUUUGGAUGGGCCCGCGUUGGAUUAGCUAGUUGGUAGGGUAAAAGCCUACCAAGGCGACGAUCCAUAGCUGGUCUGAGAGGAUGAUCAGCCACACUGGGACUGAGACACGGCCCAGACUCCUACGGGAGGCAGCAGUGGGGAAUAUUGGACAAUGGGCGAAAGCCUGAUCCAGCAAUGCCGCGUGAGUGAUGAAGGCCUUAGGGUUGUAAAGCUCUUUUACCCGGGAUGAUAAUGACGGUACCGGGAGAAUAAGCUCCGGCUAACUCCGUG
rnacentral:rRNA from 1 species